GAUGAACGCUGGCGGCGUGCCUAAUACAUGCAAGUCGAGCGAACAGAUGAGGAGCUUGCUCCUCUGACGUUAGCGGCGGACGGGUGAGUAACACGUGGAUAACCUACCUAUAAGACUGGGAUAACUUCGGGAAACCGGAGCUAAUACCGGAUAAUAUAUUGAACCGCAUGGUUCAAUAGUGAAAGACGGUUUUGCUGUCACUUAUAGAUGGAUCCGCGCCGCAUUAGCUAGUUGGUAAGGUAACGGCUUACCAAGGCGACGAUGCGUAGCCGACCUGAGAGGGUGAUCGGCCACACUGGAACUGAGACACGGUCCAGACUCCUACGGGAGGCAGCAGUAGGGAAUCUUCCGCAAUGGGCGAAAGCCUGACGGAGCAACGCCGCGUGAGUGAUGAAGGUCUUCGGAUCGUAAAACUCUGUUAUUAGGGAAGAACAAAUGUGUAAGUAACUAUGCACGUCUUGACGGUACCUAAACAGAAAGCCACGGCUAACUACGUG
rnacentral:rRNA from 1 species